CUGGCUCAGAACGAACGCUGGUGGCGUGUCUUAUACAUGCAAGUCGAGCGAGGCAGCAAUGCCGAGCGGCGAACGGGUGAGUAACGCGUAAGCAAUCUGCCCCAUAUCAGGAAAUACCCGUGCCAACGCGCGGUUAAUGUCCAGGAGAGUGGCCCCCUGCAUGGAGGGUUGACUAGAGAUUUAUCGGUAUGGGAUGAGCUUGCGUCCGAUUAGCUAGUGGCGGGGCAACGGCCCACCAAGGCGACGAUCGGUAGCCGGCCUGAGAGGGUGAUCGGCCACAUUGGGACUGAGAUACGGCCCAGACUCCUACGGGAGGCAGCAGUAGGGAAUAUUGCACAAUGGGGGAAACCCUGAUGCAGCAACGCCACGUGUGGGAAGAAGCAUUUCGGUGUGUAAACCACUGUCAUGAGGGAAUAAGGCCCGCCUUCGGGCGGGAUUGAAUGUACCUUGAGAGGAAGCACCGGCAAACUUCGUGCCAGCCGCCGC
rnacentral:rRNA from 1 species